UACGGAGGGUGCAAGCGUUAUCCGGAUUCACUGGGUUUAAAGGGUGCGUAGGUGGGUCUGUAAGUCAGUGGUGGAAAUCUCCGAGCUUAACUUGGAAACUGCCAUUGAUACUAUAGGUCUUGAAUACUGUGGAGGUAAGCGGAAUAUGUCAUGAGCGGUGAAAUGCUUAGAUAUGGACAUAGAACACCAAUUGCGAAAGGCA
rnacentral:rRNA from 1 species